UUCCUCUUCUGAUUUUCUUCUUCUUCUACUUAUUCACCAUUGUCAAUUACCCUUCUUCACCACUGCAAUGAACCCCGGCACUAACAGCAACUACCAGGUCUGAAUUUGUCUUCCUCUUAUUAUUUGUUUUGCAGAUGGGGUCUCUUCCUCUUCUGAUUUUUUUCUUCUUUUUCUUCUUAUUCACCAUUGCAAUGAACCCUUCUUCACCACUGCAAUGAACCCCGGCACUAACAGCAACUACCAAGGUCUGGAUCGAGACUACCCAUGAACGCAUGCAAGUGUCAGAUCCUGGAUCGACAUUAUUCCGCACCCCUGCUCACCCCGCCACUAAAAUUUGUGAUGUUCUUCUCGUCUGUAUGGUCAUCGACGUCGUGUGGUGUUUUUCGAGGAGGAGGUAUUUUUUAUCGAAGGUGCCUCACAUACAUACACAGAGACCCAAAAAAGAAGAAACAUGAAAAAAAAGGGAAAAAGUGUUUGCUGAAGAGAAUGGCCUCAAAGGAGACCCACGACUUCCAACCAUUUGUCAAGCAUCAGAGUUGUUCCUUACUUCCCCAAAUAAGGUCUAUGGCUGUGGCUGUUUGGGUUCAUAAGAUGCUUAGAAAUCUGAAAAUGAUGGUGUGCCACACAAAAGAUCAAUGAAAAGACAUGCAUGAGACCAACUAUAAGCUAAUAGAAUAAAUCUAGCCAUAGAACAAAAAAGGUCAGUAAAUAAUCUUGUAUUUUUCUUAAUGUUGUUGAAACUUAUGGUUGAGCAGGACAUCAUUGAACUUUGUUAAUUGGAGGGAAUGAGUGAAGGAUUAUUGAUGAAUUUUUUUUAAUAGCUAAUUGGUGUUAAAAAUACAUUCAUGAAAAUACUCAUAUUUCUCUAAAAAGAGUUAUUUAAUGAUAAUAAUUAAACUUAUUUAACAGGGUAAAUAUGUAUGAUGUCAAUUUUUACUCAAUUUAAUGUCAAGUAUGGCAUACAUUGUCCUAUUUUAUGCAUCGAAUAGCUUGUAUUCACUCAUAGAUAUUGUUUGUAUGCUUACGGAGAAAAUGAUUGUGAAACUAAUGAAAAAAAUCAAGCAAAUAGAAUUCUAAGAAGACUAUUUAUAGCUCAAAAUAUGUUCAUACCACAUAGAAAAUAAUAUUAGCACUAUGGUUAGGACAACAAUAAAGAAAAAGUGAUUUUACUAAAAUUGAGUGAGAAAAUUUGUAUUAAAAAUUUGAAUGCCUCUGGAAAUAGUUGUGAUAAAUAUAACAUGUGCUUGUAUAAUAAGAAAACUGUCAGAAUUCUUUCUAAAGAGUUCAUUAAUGAGAAGAAUCAAAUCUCCUUAUUUAUGAGUGAAGGGUGUUUUCUUAUAUGGUAACUGGGUUGAUUUUAAUAGUUAAUUCAUGUCUUCAUGAAAAGUCCUAGAAAUAUCCCUGAUUAUUUUAAAAUUUAGCUUAUAAAAAAUAUAGAGUUAGUUUAAACUUAAGAAAUGGCUCAAAUAUGAUGAAGAUAACAUAUAUUAGCUCAAAUAAGUAAUACACAUACAUAUAUACAUUAAGUCAAGUUAUGAUCUAACCGGUUAAACUAGUAUUUAUUCAAAUUCCACUUACUAAUAUAUGGAUCCAAUUUCUUAAACUAUUAAUGAGUUUAGCUCAAAGGAGCUCACAGAGGCGGUUCCAAUAAAUUAAACUUAUGAGUUAGCCAAACUUGUUAGAAUAAAUGUGUUAAAGUAGUUUUAUAUUUUAUAGUAGAGUAAAAUAUUUUUUACAUAUGUGAGUUGAAUUUAUACUUGAGUUUAAAGUAGAAAAAAGAAAUUACAAUAUUCAUAAAUUUAGUGUGUUGUGUUGAAUUUAUACUUGAGAUUAAAGAAAUUUUUUUUUAUAUAUGUGAUGCCUUGGUGUGAGAUGGAGCAAUUUAUGCCGAGGAGGCAUGAGUUCUUUGAUAAUUGGGAUGUCAAUAAAAGCAUGGAACCAUGAGUUAAGCUUAGGCAUUGACUCUGCAUCAAUAAGGUUGAUGGCCACAACUUCCUCAGCUAUUCCAAUCCAGUAUGGAAGUCACCCAUAGAAAUGUCCGCAAAGCCAAUGUUAUCACCUCCAAAGAAGCGUUCCCUCAAGUCCAACUUCAAGCCUCUUCAGAUUCUCUCGAGCUUCUUCUGCUGCCUUCUGUUGCUCUUCUCCUACCUUGAAAAACGCUGCCACAACCGUUGAAUUUAUACUUGAGAUUAAAGUUUGAAACUGACCCUUUUAUGCGUAUAAAUGGUGUGAAAUUUGUUGCAACAAGUGCAACCCCUACGCAAGAUCCGACAUCGCCGCAACUGCAGAAUAUUUCUAUAGAUGAGUUAUUUCGUGCAAUUGAAGACUUGAGGAGAGAUGUGAAGGAGCUAGGAGAGCUAAAGAAGUCUAUGGAAGAACUAACCAAGGCUUCUGGCAACAUAGAGAGAUCACUCAAGGUGAUGGAGUUUAAGCUGUACCAUAAUGAAGAUAAGUGCAAAGACCAUGAUGAGUACAACACAAACCUACCUCCCAAAGAUUCAGUCAGCAACGUUGAUUUUACUCAGCAAAGUGUAGACAGGAACCCAAUGAUGACACCAGUCGCUGAUCCACCAUUGAGAAAGAGGUUGAGAUGCAGCCCCGCACAACUCGACAAUGAUGUCACCAUUGAUAUCUCUGAUGCCGAAGAUGAUGCCACUAUAUCAGAUAAGCAUGAAUCGGGGUUGUCUCGGGCAUCACAAUCUUCGGACUUGACAGCAUUAAAGGAAAGUGCAUUGUCAACCCUCAACUUAGAACCAAGGCUAAGUCUACAGCUUUCCUUGCCAGCAAUUACUGCAGGACAUUGCCGACUAAGGUUGAAUCCUCAUUGACUCGAGAAAAAUUGCUCACCUCCCCUUCUCCUAAUAUGCGAGUUGCUAAGAUGACAAAGACAGGGGAUGCCACAUUAUUUUUUGUUCCACGUCGACUUCCUGCUCAAUCUGCUGGUGUGCCUUGCCUCCAAGGUGAGAGGUCACUGCCACAAGGCUCUAACUCUAACCAAAUGGAGAAAUCACGUUACUAUAAUGCAAUGAUUAAGGUGACAAUCAUUGAUUACUGGUUUUGAAUGGUCAUAUUCAGACCAUGUGCUAAAAUGUAGCUAAAGUUUGUUCAACUUGAAGGAUUAGCAUAUGCAUUUUGUGCAAGUAUUGAAGAUCCAAGUGAGACCAUGAUUAAUGUGGAUGACACGAUAGUAACUAGGGAAGAACUUGCUUGUCUAGCUCCCGGAAGACCAAUCUCGGACAAGAUAAUCAAGCUUGUAGUAAUGAAGGCCACAUGGAACCAAGCAAAUAAGACUUUUUGGAUGCUUCCGCCAUCUUUUGCGGUGGAACAUUUUAUGAGACAUUCACUGGAUAAAAUGAAUGCUGCCUAUAUAUAUCGCUUUAUGCCUGUCGCACCGGAUCUUAAAUUUGAAGAAGGUGACCACUGGUAUCUUAUGGUCAUUAGCUUAUUGGAUGGAAAAUUAUAUCAGUUUGAUUCUAAUCUAAAUGAUGAUCAAGUUGAGCCAAGACAAGAAAUUAUGAAAUCCUUGGCUUUAAAAUUAUCAGAUAUGGUAACUUCUGGUCAUUACCUAAAAGUCGCGACUCUGGUCUCUGGGUUCUUCAAUGGUUGUCUAUGAGAGAGAAGUUUAAUCCCACAGUGUCGGGCAUUCUAAAUGAGCAAUAUAUCCGUACAUCUGUUGUGGUAGAUCUUUUGUUGGGGAUGUUCAAUGACCACAAAUAUGAGUUUCAGAAGAAGAGCAAUGAGUUCUGGGUUACGCUUUAGCGUGAACAGCAUGGAGAGCAACAUUUUUGCAUAUUCAGUUAUUAUUUUCAAAAUUUGCUUUAAUCCUCAAUUGUGAACGAGAUUAGUGACAUUUAUAAUUUAUUUGUUGAAUUAUUAUUUUAAAGGAGAAAGUUUGUCUGGUCUGAAAACUUUGUUAUAUUAUUAUAUUCAUAAUAAAUACAAAGAU